rnacentral:misc_RNA from 1 species
AAGUCGUAACAAGGUUUCCGUAGGUGAACCUGCGGAAGGAUCAUUACCGAGUUAGGGUCUCCUCCGUGAGGCCCGACCUCCCAACCCCGUGUCUAAUAAACCUGUUUGUGUUGCUUCGGCGGAACGGCAGUCGUCUUCCCCUUCACCGGGGAGGAUAACCGUCGCCGGGGGCUCACGGUCUCACGACCGCCCCUGGAGAGCGUCCGCCGAUGGCCCCAACCAAAUAACUACCAAACCCAAACCAUGGAACUAAAUUUUCUGAAUCAGACAUUUGAUAUACCAAUCAAAAACAAAA